UACGAAGGGGGCUAGCGUUGCUCGGAAUCACUGGGCGUAAAGGGUGCGUAGGCGGGUCUUUAAGUCAGGGGUGAAAUCCUGGAGCUCAACUCCAGAACUGCCUUUGAUACUGAAGAUCUUGAGUCCGGGAGAGGUGAGUGGAACUGCGAGUGUAGAGGUGAAAUUCGUAGAUAUUCGCAAGAACACCGGUGGCGAAGGCGGCUUCUUGGGCCCUACCUGACGCUGAGGCGCGAAAGCCAGGGGAGCGAACGGG
rnacentral:rRNA from 1 species